rnacentral:piRNA from 1 species
UUGGACAUGCUAGGCUAUCAGACACAUC